GAUUUCUGGCUUGGUGCGCCUGGCCCGCCACGGUUACGUGUGUGAGUGCUGGGUCGCGCCUGCCAUCCUUCUAGAGAACGGUUCUACCCUUCAUUGGGCCGGGGCCGCAAUCUAGAUCUUUUACUUUGAAAAAAUUAGAGUGUUUAAAGCAGGCAUUUGCUAUGAAUACAUUAGCAUGGAAUAAUAAUUUAGGACUUCGGUUCUAUUUUGUUGGUUUCUAGGACUGAAGUAAUGAUUGAUAGGGAUAGUUGGGGGUGCUAGUAUUCAGUGGCCAGAGGUGAAAUUCUCGGAUUCACUGAAGACUAACUUCUGCGAAAGCAUU
rnacentral:rRNA from 1 species